CCUACGGGAGGCAGCAGUGAGGAAUAUUGGUCAAUGGACGAGAGUCUGAACCAGCCAAGUAGCGUGAAGGAUGACUGCCCUAUGGGUUGUAAACUUCUUUUAUAUGGGAAUAAAAUGUUCCACGUGUGGGAUUUUGUAUGUACCAUAUGAAUAAGGAUCGGCUAACUCCGUGCCAGCAGCCGCGGUAAUACGGAGGAUCCGAGCGUUAUCCGGAUUUAUUGGGUUUAAAGGGAGCGUAGGUGGAUUGUUAAGUCAGUUGUGAAAGUUUGCGGCUCAACCGUAAAAUUGCAGUUGAAACUGGCAGUCUUGAGUACAGUAGAGGUGGGCGGAAUUCGUGGUGUAGCGGUGAAAUGCUUAGAUAUCACGAAGAAUUCCGAUUGCGAAGGCAGUUCACUGGACUGCAACUGACACUGAGGCUCGAAAGUGUGGGUAUCAAACAGGAUUAGAUACCCCUGUAGUC
rnacentral:rRNA from 1 species